rnacentral:rRNA from 1 species
GACGAACGCUGGCGGCGUGCUUAACACAUGCAAGUCGAACGGAAAGGCCCUGCUUUUGUGGGGUGCUCGAGUGGCGAACGGGUGAGUAACACGUGAGUAACCUGCCCUUGACUUUGGGAUAACUUCAGGAAACUGGGGCUAAUACCGGAUAGGAGCUCCUGCUGCAUGGUGGGGGUUGGAAAGUUUCGGCGGUUGGGGAUGGACUCGCGGCUUAUCAGCUUGUUGGUGGGGUAGUGGCUUACCAAGGCUUUGACGGGUAGCCGGCCUGAGAGGGUGACCGGCCACAUGGGGACUGCGAUACGGCCCAGACUCCUACGGGAGGCAGCAGUGGGGAAUAUGGCACAAUGGGCGGAAGCCUGAUGCAGCAACGCCGCGUGCGGGAUGACGGCCUGCGGGUUGUAAACCGCUGUCGCCUGUGACGAAGCGUGAGUGACGGUAAUGGGUAAAGAAGCACCGGCUAACUACGUG